AAAUGCGAUAAGUAAUGUGAAUUGCAGAAUUCAGUGAAUCAUCGAAUCUUUGAACGCACCUUGCGCUCCUUGGUAUUCCUUGGAGCAUGCCUAUUUGAGUAUCAUGAAAUCUUCAAAGUAAAUCUUUUGUUAACUCAAUUGGUUUCUACUUUGGUAUUGGAGGUCUUUGCAGCUUCACACCUGCUCCUCUUUGUUCAUUAGCUGGAUCUCAGUGUUAUGCUUGGUUCCACUCGGCGUGAUAAGUUAUCUAUCGCUGAGGACACUGUAAAAGGUGGCCAAGGUAAAUGCAGAUGAACCGCUUCUAAUAGUCCAUUGACUUGGACAAUACUUUUAUGAUCUGAUCUCAAAUCAGGUAGGACUACCCGCUGAACUUAAGC
rnacentral:misc_RNA from 1 species